AGUGGAUGAUGACAGCUUGGUAAUGUACACUCCUGAGUGUGCAGGGGGGAGCCAAUUUCUGAGAGCCAGGCAUGCG